rnacentral:lncRNA from 1 species
GCUAAUCCUAUUAAACAUUAUUAUUAAAGUGACAAUUUGCUCCUCUAAUAAAUACUAAUUUGAUUCUGAUGUUAAUAACUUUAACUACUUUAUAAAUUUUUGCUAUUUUUNUUAUUAUAUCACGCAUUACUAUAUUAUAAAAUUGUGACUUAUAAAUACUUAAUUUGAAAAUUUAUUUUCUCUUAUGGUGUGACAGGAUAUAAUUCAUCACUACAAAAAAAUAAAUAAUAAUUUAUACUAAUAGUCAUUCAAGACAUGAAUUACAUACUAGAUAGUAAUUGCUAGUUUCUAAACCAUUUUCAUUGUUUGUUUUAAAGUAUAACCUUUUUCUAUUUCUAAAAAAACAUUAUAUAUACCAGAUAAUUAUAUAUGUGUUUUUCUUAUACAUAUGUUUCAGAAUUUAUUUCUUUGAAAUGACAUGCUUAGAAAAUAAUUAACAAAGAUAAUAACAACUUUGGCUUGAAUUUAUUUCUUUGAAAUGACAUGCUUAGAAAAUAAUUAACAAAGAUAAUAACAACUUUGGCUNUAAUUAACAAAGAUAAUAACAACUUUGGCUUGAAUUUAUUUCUUUGAAAUGACAUGCUUAGAAAAUAAUUAACAAAGAUAAUAACAACUUUGGCUACUUACAUCAUUCUUUUAGUUCAGGGACUGUUUAGGAUGUGACAAUUCUGUUAUUAAUGAAUGACGAAAAAACCUUAUAUUUUACUGCAUUAUUAAGGUCCAAUAGAACAUAUAAAGAUAGNAAAACAAAAAAACAAAAAUAAAAAAGAGGUUAGACAAGAGAUGAGGAACAUGGAAAGAUCGUUAUAGGGUAUAAUUGGGCAUGAUCUUCAUGUGAUAUUGAUAUUUGNAGCAAGAACUAUUUCUUAUUUCUUUCCUUCAUCUAAUCUAUAAAUUAUAUUAUUGGUAUCACCGCAAGAAUUUUUUUUAUAUUUUGUAGUGCUUCCCUAGCUUGCAUUGUGUUCAAUAUUGAUUAAAUUGACCCUUGAAGUUGGCCUUGUGUUGCUGUUACAAUAACCCUGAACCUNUUGAGCAUAAUUAGAAGUAUUGGAUGUUGUCAUGUGGGUAUAUAUGAGGGGUUAGUUUGCUUAUGUUUGUGUUAUUUUUCUUCANUAUUUGAAUGUGAAUAGGAAUUUAUGUUUUAUAUUGUGGGUUGGUUGUCGUGGUUGACAAUUAAAUGUGAAGUAGGUGGUAUUUUGGUAUGAAUAUCUUAGUUGUAAUUAAAUUGAUACUGUUUUAUGAUCUCUUAUCAUUGUGCUAACACAGGGAAGAGAAAAUAGCAAAGAAAANGAGUUUUCAUGAGAGUUUUAGUGUGCAUCCGAGAGGCUGACAAUGCAAGGCAAAUGUGAGGCUUAAAGAAACAAGGAAGGGAUUAGGAAACUUAAGAGAAUCAUAGAACUUUGGCACUUUGUAUAAAUAUAUAUUACAUUUUUAACUAUACACUUUUAUUAUGUUAGUUAUUUGAAGUCAUUUUUGUAUAUAUAUAGAUUGUGUAUUUAUUAUUGUUGUUUUAAUAAAAACUCAUAGAUAUUUGGUACUAUUUUUUUGCAAUUUCA